CUCGGACCUUCCACGCACGCAGGAGCAGGAUCAGCGGGGACUAACGUAUGGUACAGGAGGACCUGGCUGACCUGGCUGACCUGGAGGAGGACGAGGACGAGGAGCAGCAGCGCGGACAAUUGUGUGUGGUGACGUUGCAGUGACAACAGGUGUAAUCUGAACACCUGUGAUCGGAUCACUCAGGUGGGAUGUUA